GUACUCACUUCACAGCACGUAUACUAAAACUGGAAUAACAGAGAGAGUGUAAGCAUGGCCCCUAUACACAGACGACACAAAAAUUCAUGAAGCACUCUCAUUUUUA
ensembl:snRNA U6 U6 spliceosomal RNA